rnacentral:rRNA from 1 species
UACGAAGGGUGCAAGCGUUAAUCGGAAUUACUGGGCGUAAAGCGUGCGCAGGCGGUUUUGUAAGUCAGAUGUGAAAUCCCCGGGCUUAACCUGGGAACUGCGUUUGAAACUACAAGGCUAGAGUGUGGCAGAGGGGGGUGGAAUUCCACGUGUAGCAGUGAAAUGCGUAGAGAUGUGAGGAACACCGAUGGCGAAGGCAGCCCCCUGGGUUAACACUGACGCUCAGGCACGAAAGCGUGGGGAGCAAACAGG